ACAAUCGUGCGCCCACUCCUCAUCGCAAUCCAGUAGCUCCGGCCUCGCCUCCUCAACCGCGCAUUCCCCUCUCCCACACCCGCCUCGUUCGCCCCUACCGCGCCAUCAACGCGCCUCCCCCGCCGCACACCCCGUCCUCCCCAUGCCGAAUCGUGAUGGUUAUGCUCCCCACCCACGCGCCGCGUGCCUCCUCCUUCCCCGCCGCUCCCACCCGAGAUGGUUAGCUCCCCUCCUUCUGGUCCCUUCCCCUGCCUCACUGCCAGCCAGCGAUGGAGCAAGGCCAGGGGAUUCGCCGGAUUCACCGAGCGGGCUCUGGUGGCGGCCGGCGCUGCCGUCGUGUCCGCCAUUCUUGUCAACCCCCUUGACGUCGCCAAGGUACGCCGGUGACCCUGUCGUUGCCUCUUUCGCUUCCUCUCAACUGCCGCCCCUCAACCCUCGACACUUGCCCACAACUGUCGCCAUUGCCCGCUCGCCAUGGCGCUAAAAUAAACCCCCUCUGCGGCCGCCCCGUAUCCUCUCGCUGCGGCCGCGGGCUGGGGAGCACCGGCCUUGGCAUCGUCAUAGCCGCGGGAGUCUUCAGCGCCGCCGCCUCGUUGCUCCUCGCCUACUUCUUCUGGCAGUGCACCGGGAAGGGCAAAGGAGGCCGCCGUCGCCACAGGCGCGGCACCAGCGAGUCGGGCGGUGGGGAAGACGGGAGCUGGUGGACCGAGAGGCUGCGGGCGGCGCACAACCGCCUGGUCCCGGUCUCGCUGUUCCAGAAGCCCAUCGUGAAGGUCAAGCUCGCUGACCUGAUGGCCGCCACCCAUGACUUCAGCACUAGCCACAUCGUGGUCGCCGGGAGCUCGCAGGCGGGGAUAGCUUACCGAGCCGUGCUACGGGACGGGUCUGCGCUGACGGUCAAGCGCCUGCACUCGUGCCCACUUUCGGAGAAGGCGUUCAGGGCAGAGAUGGGUCGUAUGGGGCAGCUGCGGCAUCCUAACAUCGUGCCACUGCUGGGCUUCUGUGUUGUCGAGGACGAGAGGCUGCUGGUGUAUAAGCAUAUGGAGAGUGGGGCUCUUUCAUCGGUGAUGAAGAAGCCAGGGGAAGCGCCGCUGGAUUGGGCAACGCGACUUAGGAUCGCCGUGGGGGCAGCAAGGGGGCUUGCGUGGCUGCACCAUGGGUUCCAGGUUCCGCAGAUUCACCAGAAUUUGAGCUCGAGUGCAGUGCUUCUCGACGAGGAUUAUGAUGCUCGGAUCACGGAUGUUGGACUCACAAGGUUGGUCCGGAUGGCGCCUGGCGAGGGUGGUGAUACCAGUCCUUUCCUGAACGGGGACUUUGGGGAGUUUGGCUAUGUUGCUCCAGAGUAUGCUAGCAAUCCAGUUGGUACGAUGAAAGGCGAUGCGUAUGCAUUUGGGGUGAUAUUGUUUGAGCUUGUUAGCGGGCAGGAGUCUGCUGCUGUGGUUACUGACGUGACGGGUGAAGGAUUCAAGGGGACAUUGGUGGACUGGGUUAACCAGCUCAAGGCUUCUGGUCGAAUCAGUGAUGCUAUUGAUAAACCAUUGCGUGGAAAGGGCCAUGAGGCAGAGAUUCAGGAGUUCUUGAAGAUAGCUUUUGCUUGCACCCAGCCCCGUGUGACGGAGAGGCAUUCAAUGUAUCGGGUUUUCCACGCUCUGAAGAGCAUCGGAGAGGGCUGCGAUGUCACGGAGCAGUUUGAUGAGUUCCCAUUGGCCUAUAACAAGGAUGAUUCAGACGCUAUUUAGCUGAUGAUGCUGAUUGCCAAUUCGAUUGUGGAAAUGUUUGGUCAGGCUUAUUGAUGAUAUAUAUAUUUAGCCUUGCUAUGGACAGACCGGAAGCAUAAAUGAGUGAUAAGAGAACAAUAUCGAGGCACCAAAUCUAGCGCCGGAUGCCGGGUGGUCAAUUACAUCGUUGCAUCGACAGGGGAUGUGAUAACCAUAAGUAAUAUUGCUCGAAAAUGUAGAGCUGACUCUUGAAGCCUUUGACUAAAUGCAGCUGCCAUUCACGCUGAAAGCGCAUUCUAACACGGCAUGAUACACUAGCAACUGGAAUGUUGUCAACAUCAGCGGCAACGACGACAACGCCACAUCGAGAAACAACAACUGUGGGCUAGGGAGCACAAUCCCGUGGUGCGGUGACUUGCCCACGUUUGCCAUGCUGCCUUGAUGCAUGGCACAUCAACAAGAAGAGCACCAGUUUGGAAGGCUAAUUCCGAAGGAAUUGAGAUGUGCAGAGGGAGAUGAAGAAUGUGGAGAAAGACAUCAGGGUAGCUACUAAGCGCAAUGACAUGUUAUCUGCAAAGAGCUGAUGCUGCUCGGAGUCAUCUCGCUGCUGCUCAGCCAGACGGCACGCUUCAUAUCGGAGAUCUGCGUGCCGUCCUCGCUCUUCACCAGCCGCUUCUACAUCUGCUCUGAGAGCGACUACCAGGACCUGCUGCGCAACACGGACGCCAACCAGACGGCGCUCGACAAGAACAUGUUCGGUGGCCAGCGGCUGCACGUCUGUGGCGAGGGCCAUGAACCUUUUGUUUCGUACGAGGGCCUUGAGCAGCUGCACCGGUUUCUCUUCAUCCUUGGUAUCACUCAUGUGUUGUACAGUUUUGUAACAGUGGUUCUGUCCAUGAUCAAGAUCUAUAGCUGGAGGAAGUGGGAAACCUUAGCAGGUCCAAUUGCUGCUGAGGAAUUGAAAGCUAGGAGAACCAAGGUGAUGAGAAGGCAGUCAACCUUUGUUUUUAACAAUGCUUCUCAUCCAUGGAGCAAAAAUAAAAUACUUAUUUGGAUGCUUUGCUUUUUGCGCCAAUUCAAGGGCUCCAUAAUAAGGUCAGACUAUUUGGCACUGAGGUUGGGCUUUGUCACAUAUCACAAGCUACCACAUUCAUAUGACUUCCAUAAAUACAUGGUACGGAGCAUGGAAGAUUAUUACAAUGGGACUAUUGGUAUCAGUUGGCCACUUUGGGCAUAUGUGAUUGUCUGCGUAUUAAUCAAUGUUCAUGCAGCACAAGCAGCACGCCGUGCCGCUCCAACCGUCUUGCUUCCCCGCUUAGCUUCCCGCCGCGCCAUGGCGUCGACCAAGGCUCCCGGCGAGAAGCACCACUCCAUCGACACGCAGCUCCAUCAGCUGGUCCCAGGCAAGGUCUCCGAGGACGACAAGCUCAUCGAGUACGAUGCGCUGCUCAUUGAUCGCUUCCUCAACAUCCUCCAGGACCUCCAUGGGCCCAGCCUUCGCGAAUUUGUCCAGGAGUGCUACGAGGUCUCGGCCGACUACGAGGGCAAAGGAGACACGACGAAGCUGGGCGAGCUCAGCGCCAAGCUCAUGGGGCUGGCCCCCGUCGACGCCAUCCUCGUGGCGAGCUCCAUCCUGCACAUGCUCAACCUCGCCAACCUCUCCGAGGAGGUGCAGAUCACGCACCGCUGCCGCAACAGCAAGCUCAAGAAAGGUGGCUUCGCCGACGAGGGCUCAGCCACCACCGAGUCCGACAUCGAGGAGACGCUCAAGCGCCUCGUGUCCGAGGUCGGCAAGUCCCUCGAGGAGGUGUUCGAGGCGCUCAAGAACCAGAUAGAUCCACAUUUAUGCUUAUGUUUAUUUUAUAUUUUUUGAUUUGAAUAUCUAAACUAUGAUGUUCUAUGAAAGAUCAUUCUUGAAUUUUUGCCUUUAAAUUUUCUUGUUAAAUCUUGUAUACUACACUAUUAAAUGAGUGCUCGUGCGUCACAGUCCCGAGUUUCUCUUUAACGU